CGCGGAGUGGAGCAGUUGGCAGCUCGUCGGGCCUAUAACCCGAAGGUCGUAGGUUCGAGUCCUGCCUCCGCAACCA
rnacentral:tRNA from 1 species